CGCUGCUGUUCGCUGGAAGUGGCGGCGCGAUCCUGCGGGCCGGUACCGCGUGGUCGCCGCUUCCUCCCCGUGAGGAGUCGCCGCCGCCGCCGCUCCACGCUCAGGUGUCGGCGGGCGCGCGGAGUGCUCGUGGCCGCAGCCCGGCUUUCGCGCACCGGUUCUGGUCCCUCCGGCGCGCCGUCGGCGAGUGUCGCAUGCGCAGCGCCCGGGAGCAGCGCGGCGGCGCGCAGGGCCCGGGUCCAGGCGGCGGCGGCAGCAGAAGAAGAAUGCCUAGGAGAGACGGGUAAAGAAGAGCAGGGGGAAGAAACAAGACUGGAAAAGCAGUGCAGAAAAUGCCAGUGAAGAGCAGGGAGAAGAGAAGCAACAGCCUUCAGCCGGUCUGGCAAGAAACUGCCCCUCCCAGAGCAGAGUCCCAGGAAAAGGAAGAAGCUUGGGUGCACGGCGACCCCAGGGAAGUGAUUUAUCCAAUUGACAGCUACGGGCAGAUACCCCCAGUGAGAACAAGACCAUUUUGUUUAACAUUCUGGAAUGUGCCAGCCCCAUAGUGUUAAUAAACCUACAGUGCCUUACAACACAGCGGACUGGAAGCUCUGCAGAUCCACCAGGAUGUGUAGAGCCGACGGAGAUACAGGCGGUACUUGAUGUGCCAGCUUUGUGUCUCACAGUGCCCAGACAGGUUUGUGACCUACACUGAUGUUCAGGCUUCCUACAGAUACAAACCAUGAAGUGGAAUUACUUCAAGCAGUUCUGCAAACCUGGUUUUAACAGUCCUCUCAAGAAUGUCUAGUGCUCGUGGCUGGUACUUGAGCUUACCUGGCAUAUGAGGAACUGACACUUGCUGUUAUGUAUUGUUUUGGGUGCUAAUACUAUUCAUGAAGAAGAAGCCGCAGUUUUUGUAAGCUGCCCAGAUACUGACAGAGAUUCUUAAGAGAUGCUUCCCAGACUUCUCCACGAAGAGCGGUGUGCUAACCGUGGCAAAUCAGACUACAUUCAAAGAUGGAACAGGGAAAACAAGAAAUGUAACCGAUCUCAGGGAAGCUGCAAAGUAGGUUUUACCCUUCUUAAGUGCUGGUUUGUUGGAUUCUGGGACUGUGAAAUAAUAUAGGAAUUGAAAGAAAGUGAUCAGAACCUGUUGUAACAAAUGGCUGAGGGCACCCAGACAAGACUUGCUAGUAGAUGGUUUCUGUGCUUGAACACUUGCAAAGUUCCUGUCAGGAAAACCACUGUGGUCUGCAGAAAUGAGCAAGGAGCCAAAAGCUUUAGUCUGCCUCAGAAUGACUGUCAGUUUUUAAAACAUUCUACUUGGUUUUCCUAGUAAAAAUUAGUACCAAGGGAAGUUAAAGGAGGUUCAAAAUGAAAUCCUCAUGCAGCAGGACUUGGGCCAGCCAGUAAUGGCCUCAGCUCUUCCUUCCUACAGUGGCCUUUCUACUAACGUGGACUGUCCUGGUACGUGGGCAUCUCACCUCAUCAGCGUGCUCCUGUUUCUACCACAUGUCUAAAGGUCAAAAGGCAAUGUCCUGGGCUCUGAUGCCAGACAGCACCUCCCUUGCAGAUGGACAGCAAGCAUCUCCAAUCCUGGGUAUCAACCAGGAUGAGAGAAAACCGCUGCAAUAGCAUCCCUUUUCCAGCUGCUCUCCACCCACAGCCUGUAUGGAGCACAGGGGUACCUUUUCUUACCUCUUGAUCUGAGGCUACCACAUUCUAGCACCUUACGAAGUUUCCUUCUUCUGGAUUUUAAUGUAAGAUUCUGAUGGGUAUUUUUAUGUUUUUCCAAACUCACUUUGGAGUGUGUAGGGAAUUGAAAAAUAGAUCAUGUACAUGUUUAUUCCCAAACCUACUUUUAAACUCUGCCAUAAUGUUGUUAUGGUUCUGUACAUGAGGUAAGGCUAGCACAGCAUACAUGCAUACAGUAUGGUUUGGAGUAGCUUUUUAAUAUCCUACCAGGCAGAAACCCAGGAGGUGCUGUCUUCUGUUGCAGGACCCAUCUGCGUGGUAAUUCCAAAACUAAAAAAUCUUAAUUAAGAGACUUUCAAACCAAUUGCAGUUGCUAAAUGUCAUUGGUAUCUGUAGAAAACACAUCACGAUUUCCAAAUUCAUACUAGCAAUAUGUAGUUAAAUUCAUUAUAAUACAUAAAUCCAAUAUAACUCUGUAAAUCCAGUGCAACAGGCAAAGCAACUUAAAGAACAAAACAUAUUGAACGGUUAGCUUUAUCUUGCCAUUAUUACUCAAUAAUCAGCAAUUAGUAAAAAUGCAGCACCAAAAGAAAAGAAGUAGCUAUUUUGCUGAAGCAAAUACGUAAGUAUAUGUGCAUAAGUGGCUGUUCUCUCUACCUCAGUUAUUGAAAUCAGGCUUAUAGUGCAGAUUCUUUCAAAGGAGAUACUGCUCAACAGAUGGGCUGGAGAGAGAAUUGACCAUUUCUUGAACAGAAUUUCUCAAUAUUGAAGCCAGUUUCCACAUUUCAAAUAUGAUACUUUUAUAAGGAAUUGUUGUUACUUUUAAAGUAGUUGGAUAGAAUUUUCUUCACACGUUUCAGCAAAUGACAGCAUGCAUCAAAUGAUUUCUGGGCAAACAUAUUAAAGUGCCAGAGUUUGGGUGAUGACAGUGAAGGCCUAAUGGUGAAAGGAGGCAGGAUUAAAAAUUAAAUAUAGAAUUGCUCUGUUCUUUUUAUCAUACUCCCAAAGAACUGCUGCUUUCAAGGCUCAGUUUAAGGGAACUACUCUAUUAAGGACAGUUGUUGCCAUGUAUUCAUUCAGUUUUGGUGUUACUCGGACUCGUGUAAAUCUGAAGCUAACUGUAGAUAAAGGUAACUUACUCCUUUCAAGAAUAGAGUCAGAAAGUCCAAAAGGACAGCUUUAUUUUGAGAAAUACAUUCUGCAUUUAAAGGGCUAGGACUUCAGACCAGUUUACAAAGGUUUAACUAAAUAAACUGAUGUUCUUUUUCUUGUCCCUCCACCCAUCUGGCUUAGUUUGCCCAAAAUGUCUGUUUUUGGUUGAUUGUGAUCAGGCUGACCCAUUUUUUAUCUUUAGUAACUGGCUAAAUAAACUGGGAACGUUCAGAAGAGAAGUUCCUGAACACAGGCAAGAGAAGGCAUUCAAUUCUUUUAGGUCUAUUCUAAUACAAAAUUCUGAUGUGACACCUCAAAACUCUGAGAAAUGAAAUGUUCUGUGAAGCAACUGAGCUGGAUCUUUGUUGGAUGGAACCAUUGUUCACUUUGCUUUAUUCGCAUUGCUUUAGAAGCCCCCCCUGAGUAAAAAGGCCUUUUGCAGUCAUUUUUUCCUUUCUGACUUGCUUUCUGGGAGUGAAAUGAAAGCAAAUACUUUCUUACCACAGACUUGAUAAAGAUACUAUAGAUGUCUUUCUGGGGGUCCCACUGAUGGCUCUUAACAGUUUCUUUCUAUGCAUCACUAUGCCAGAUCAUUUUCUUUUCCGAUGGGUAGAAAGUCACUGGUUUUCCUCCUAAAUCGAAUUCUUUUUUUCUAGGAAAGCUCCUCAAAUGUCACUUUACUAAUAUUGUUUCUUUGCAAGCAGGGAUUUUAAACGGAGGACAUAAACCAGCAACCUCCCCACUCACAGGUAUUUCUCCAAUUUAACUUUCUGUGCUGUAGACUGGGCCAUGGCCUGAAAAAGGCAGUGAGUUGGUCAGCCAGUGUAAAUGACCAAACCAGACAUGUACUGGUCCCAUUCAGACACCCUGAGAACUUAGUGUGUGCAAACAUUUCUGGCUGUGUCCUGUGAGAUCAUCGUAUGUAAUCUAUCUGUUUCUAGCAGCAGAGAGCCAUGAGGAUAUAUUUCAUGAGGAGUAUUUUGAAAUACGUUUCUACAAACCAUUCUCUUACAUGAAAUGAAGUGACCCUCAUUUGGAGUAACAGGCACGCAAGAAAGAUUCUCACACUUGUUUUCCCUGUGCUUCUGUUUCUUGUCUUCCUAGUGGGCUGUUCAUUGCAAUGAUUAUGAGUCUGCUCUUCCCUGUGUUAUUGAGGUUCACAGCUGGGGUUCUUUUCUGGAUUUUCAUCUUUGGUGUGAUUGGAAUUAUGGGUUAUGGUAGGUGUAAUCCUCCAGCCUCUGAGGCUGUUUUUCCUUACUGCUUAAUUUUGGGCAAAUAAAGUAAGUGAUUACAUCAAUUAAAUGCUAUAGCUGUGAGAACUAGUGCCUAGGUUUAGACACAGUUAAGUGAGAAGGGCUUAAAUGGCAGUGAAAUUUAGUAAGAAUCCAGCUGUGCUGAUACUUAGCACCAGAGGUAGUAACCCGAACUAUCUACCCACAGUGUGCUUAGUCUGUAUUCACUUGUACUGAUCUUUCUUUUCUAUAUACGUGAUGUUACAGCUGACUAGUCUCUCAGUAAUGCGUGUUUGGGUUUUGCUUACCUGACAUGCUGAGGACAAAACACUUCACUUGUCAAAGAUUUAAAAAAACCCCAACCUUGUCUUUGCACUCUUCAGAAACACUCAUUUUAUGUUGAUUGUUUUUUAACAGGCAUCUGGCAUUGUUACUGGGAGUACGACCAUCUUAAAAGAAUACCUGGAUCUGACCUCACUGUUUAUGAUACUGGAUUCCAGAGAGACUUCAGAGUGUGCCUGCAGCUGAGGCAAACAUGGGGCGCUGCUGGCGGCUGGUUACUGGGUGUUACUGGGCACCUUCCUCUCCCCCCAUACCCCGCCCCGGCCUCAUCACCUUCCUCCAAGUGGCAAAUCUGCCCAUCGUCAUCCUCAGCAGGCUCCUUCAAGCUGCCACCAACUACCGCCAGGGCCACACAGAGCAGCUCUUGGGGGUCACCACCACCCUCCUGUUCUGGGGGGGCCGGGUGCGGGUCUUCCCUUCAGGUGAGACCCCCCACCUUGGACCCCCAAAUCCCCUUUUCCAGCCCCACCAAUGUUCUUCCGUCUCCAACAGGAGACAGGGCACCUGCGCCUGGCCUUGACCUUCGCCACAUCAGCCGCCUGCAAUGGGCUCCCAUUGGGGCAGCUGCUGUAUUAUGGGGGGAGGAACCCACAAACCUCCUCCUCACCGCAAGGUGGACUGACCCCGGAUCCCCCCAUAACCCCUCCCCACAACGGAACAAACCGAGGGGGUGGGGUGUUAAAAAGGGGGUUUUUGUGGGGUCAAACAUCCCCCCGUUAAUAAAAUGGGUUUUCACUGGUG